AUGAUUUUUUUUAAUAUUUUAUUUCAAUUUGUUUUUUUUUUUUAUGUUUGCUAUUCCUACACGAAUAGUAAAAAAUUUAAACAACCAUUACAAAGUAUUAAUUAUGACAUAGUAAAUUACAAUGAUAAAAAUUCACUAUUUAACGAUCUUAGAAAAGGAAAUAGGCUGUACUAUAUUUCUCCUAACGCGAACAAAUUUAAAGUUUUUUAUCAAAUAAAUCAGACAAAACCUGGAAAGAAAACGGAGCUUUUUUUAUUAAAAGACUAUGAUCCAUCGAGUCUCUUCCCAGGGUUCAAAACGGUUUUUGAUAAAAAGUUAGUUUUAACAAAGUGAUAAAACAGAAGAAAUUAUAAUUAAUUAUAUAAAUUUUAGUUAUAUUAGUGUGUGGACAUGUACACACAUUCAUACAUACAUAAAUAAAUAAAUAAAUAAAUAAAUAAAUACA
rnacentral:lncRNA from 1 species